CUCUCUUGGUAAUUUUCUUCCGCUCCAAGAACUCUCUAAAACCCUAAAUAGAUAGAGAGAAUCACACAAAUAUACACAGUCGAGUAGUUGGAUCAAUUAGCACUUUGUGUGGAUUUGAUCAUCGAAAUUGAAAAUUAGGGUUUUGAACUUCACACAGAGAGAGAGAGAGAGAGAGCGAGAGUGUGUGUGUGUGUGUAAAUGGCUUUGACGAACUUAAUUCUGACGGUGGCAGGAGUGAGCGCAGUGAUUCUGCUGAUGAGGAGCGAUGUGAAGCAAACCUCCACAAUCUUCCGUCGAAACGUCCGUCAGAUUCGCCAGUGGCUCGAACAAGAGUCCUCCACUGCCGCCAAGGAAAUGGAGAAGGUUAAACCCAAGGAGUUGCCUGGAAAAGAUAUUCCCAAGGGAGACAAACACUAGACGUUUUCGAUCAGACCCAGGGUUUAUAUAUAGAAACCGCUUAUUCUUCCGUUGUCCAUGGAAUUCAGUCUAUGCUUGUAUAAAAGCUUGAUCAAUGUAGUUCACUUAGGACUCAAAAUAAUUUUUGUUCUAUUUUUCUUAGCACUUCCAACGGUACUCAAUAUAGUCUGAUAGACAGUAUACCAUGAAUAAGUGUUGUCAUUUUGAUGAAGUCUUUUGCUGUAGCAUGUCACACUGUAAUACUUUAGCACAAGAUUAUUGGCAUGCAUUUUAUUGUGUUCACAUUUGUGUGACCAAUUUUUCUUCGUUUCUUUCCGUGGAAGACUAGACAAACUAUGAUCUCACCCUUAGCCGCUUUCAACUUUAACCAACGUGGCUGGACUUUGUGCUUUGUUGGUGGACCUCGUGCCAAUUGGAUUGGCUAAGAUUAGCUUUUGAGGAAUGUCUGAUUCAUUCAUGAAAUGGACUGCAUUUGUGUUCCUCUUCUGGAACUAAUUUCUUUUCUUGUUAAUUCUGUUUAGCCAGCGAGCUAAUGCAACUCAAGAUAAGGUCAUGGUUGUAUUGUAAUGGGUGACUUCAAUCUGUUUCACAUAUGUAUUGAUUGUAUGGAAUCCAAUGUUGUGUUGUUGGUGUUAA